GACGAACGCGGCGGCGUGCCUAAUACAUGCAAGUAGAACGCUGAAGGAGGAGCUUGCUUCUCUGGAUGAGUUGCGAACGGGUGAGUAACGCGUAGGUAACCUGCCUGGUAGCGGGGGAUAACUAUUGGAAACGAUAGCUAAUACCGCAUAAGAGUAGAUGUUGCAUGACAUUUGCUUAAAAGGUGCAAUUGCAUCACUGCCAGAUGGACCUGCGUUGUAUUAGCUAGUUGGUGGGGUAACGGCUCACCAAGGCGACGAUACAUAGCCGACCUGAGAGGGUGAUCGGCCACACUGGGACUGAGACACGGCCCAGACUCCUACGGGGGGCAGCAGUAGGGAAUCUUCGGCAAUGGACGGAAGUCUGACCGAGCAACGCCGCGUGAGUGAAGAAGGUUUUCGGAUCGUAAAGCUCUGUUGUAAGAGAAGAACGAGUGUGAGAGUGGAAAGUUCACACUGUGACGGUAUCUUACCAGAAAGGGACGGCUAACUACGUGCCAGCAGCCGCGGUAAUACGUAGGUGGCAAGCGUUAUCCGGAUUUAUUGGGCGUAAAGAGAGUGCAGGCGGUUUUCUAAGUCUGAUGUGAAAGCCUUCGGCUUAACCGGAGAAGUGCAUCGGAAACUGGAUAACUUGAGUGCAGAAGAGGGUAGUGGAACUCCAUGUGUAGCGGUGGAAUGCGUAGAUAUAUGGAAGAACACCAGUGGCGAAGGCGGCUACCUGGUCUGCAACUGACGCUGAGACUCGAAAGCAUGGGUAGCGAACAGG
rnacentral:rRNA from 1 species